rnacentral:lncRNA from 1 species
AUGCUCAUACAAAUUACUAUUUUACAGAGUAGGUUUUCUCAAGGAUAUGGUUUCUGGAAACUUCUGACCUGCUCCAAUCGAGAGAGGCUGCCUUCUCAGCUUGCUGACCCUACAUCCUGGGGAUUCCCAUCACCUUCUUCUUGCUUUGGGUUUCCUGGAUCCCUCUUCUUCCUCUCUUUUGGCUUACUGCCUUAUUUGGUAAAGCCCAUCCUCUUGGAGCUUCCUGAAAAAGGUUGUGUGGAAGAAACAAUGGAAAGUGUUGAAGAGGGACAGUGCAAGAUAACAUGCUGUUUGCAUAAGACAACUGAUGGAGCUGGUAUCAGACCUACAGUGGACAACAAACCCAUGAACGUGAUGAACUUACUUGUUCAUCAGGGAUUUAUGAAGUCCUCUCACAUUCUGGGCCUUGGGAGUAGAGGUUUCUGCCCUCAUGGAACACGAAGUACAGACAGUAAUCUUGUAAAUGCAAUAAAGUAUCAUAGGAACGUUGAUAGAAAUGUGUGUAGAAGGGACCGAUUUUGCAUGGUUUUGGGGGGUGUGUCACUUAUGGUUCACUUGGGCUAAAUCUUGAGACCUGUUAGUGUAUGCCCACUGGAAAGGAUUGGGGGAAAUACAUUCUGAGCAGAGGACUAGCAUGGAUAAAGGCCAAGAAGCAUAAAAUUGCCAGAUCAUCAGUAUCUAUGGAAUGUAAAAUACCAGUGGGGCAUGAGAAAAUUGUCUGGACUGGGAGGUUCUUGAUGCCAAGAAAGGAGUUGGAAUUUUAUCUUGUGGGCUAUGGAAACUGUUGGAGGAUUUUAAACUGGGAAGUACGUAAGCCAGUUUUGCAGCAAUAUUUUAAGCCAAAAUAAUGUCACGUGUUCCUCUGGUAACAAAUCAAAAAGUACGUAUUUCGGAAUGAAGGAUUCAGUUGCCUAGUACAGGGAGUGGUAGUUUUUCUUAGUGUUGUCUGUGCAGGUGGGACUCUUUCCUGAUGAGGACAGUUUGCGUGUAUGCUCUCACUGUGUGAUAGGGGAGUGCCAAUGAACAAGUGUCCCUUCAGAACAGAAUGCCAGAACCUAGGUGCAGAUUCCCGAAAUUCCUGAAUGAGGAGAGGCUGAACCUCCUGCCUCAACCCCACUGCAAUGGUCCCAAAUUCAACUUCUUUUAAUAAAUAUUUUGGUCAACUCUUAUGCA